UAUAAUUUUCCUAACGAUUAC
rnacentral:piRNA from 1 species